GCUUGGUCGUGCUUUAUUGCCUUUAUUGCUUCAUUGUCUCUUUGAGAGUCUUCAAGUCAACAUGUUGGGCCUAUUACGUCAGCCAUUACUCAAAUCUGUCAAAAUUGCACAGUUUGGUGUUAAAAAUGUUGCACAACCGAUCCCAAGAGUACUCCAAAGGUCAUAUGGAAGCUGUCGAAAAUGUGGAUAUUAUGACCCUCUGAAUCAACCAAAAGGCGAUCGCGAAUUCGACGGUGUUUCUGUUGGAAUCAGUUUGGCGACGAUCGGACUUGUCUUCUUCUAUUCCUACCACUUUAUCAAAAAUGUCCUGGCAAGUCCAGAAAAUAAAAUUCCGGUCCAACGAAGGGUUCAUG